rnacentral:misc_RNA from 1 species
UACGGAGGGUGCAAGCGUUAUCCGGAUUUACUGGGCGUAAAGCGCGUGCAGGUGGUUUGGAAAGUUGGGUGUUAAAGCUCUCGGCUCAACCGGGAGUUGUCGCUCAAAACUAGCAGACUAGAGGAUGGUAGAGGGAGGUGGAAUUCCGGGUGUAGUGGUGAAAUGCGUAGAUAUCCGGAGGAACACCAGUGGCGAAGGCGGCCUCCUGGCCCAUUCCUGACACUCAGACGCGAAAGCUAGGGUAGCAAACGGG